CCACGGGCUGGGCCGAUUCGGCGCUGGCCCUGGUGGUCUUGCGCGCCGCCGCGGGCAUGGCCUACGGCCUGAGCCUGAUCCUCGCGCAGACGGCCCUGGU
rnacentral:tRNA from 1 species